AACAAGAAAAACAUGCAGGAUGGCAGCUUGCAAGAACCAGAAUUGCACACCCCUGCUUAAAGAGGACUUGAGGAGUAAACUCAGACGAGGCAGGUACUGGAGUGGAUUUUGGGACCAUGGGAAUAAGAAAGCGGCAGACAGUAGUGGAGUGAAGCAGGGCUGUAUCCUUGCACCAAUACUCUGGCAUCUUCUUCUCCAUGGUCUUCCAGUAUGCCUUUAAGGAUUGUUGCAAGGGGGUCUACAUCCAUACCAGGGGGGUCUACAUCCAUACCAAGUCAGAUGGCAAACAUCACCGGUCUUUGUGCCAAGACAAAAGUCAUCAAGGUACUCAUCCAUGAGAGGCUCUACGCUGAUGACGCAAACUUGAUGUCACACAGCAUCACACGCAGCAUCUUGUAAGUCACCGCUCCCAUGCCUGCAUGGAGUUUGGAUUGACCAUCGGUCUGAAGAGACAAACAUCAUGACACAGGGCACAGAACUCCCUGCAACCACUGCCACUGACAGAUACAGCCUGGAUGUUGUUGAGCACUUUUACAUACCUUGGGUCUACCAUGUCCAGUUUGCUUUCCAUCAAUGCAGACGUCAACAGCAGAACCGCAAAAGCAUCAGCAGUCAUGGCUAAGCUGAACUCCAGCCUCACUGGAAAGACCAAGAUGUGUCUAAAAGACCUGUGUGCUCAGCAUACUCCUUUACGGCAGCAAGACAUGGACCACCUACACAAGGCACAAAAGUAAACUCAACAGCUUCCACAUGAGGUGUCUGUGCCGCAUUGUCCAUAUUAACAGGCAGGACGAGCUCACUAACACCGAGGUACUGGAAUGCACCAAUAUGAGCAGCCUGGAUGCCAGACUCUGCGAAAGGCACCUACUGUAGCUCGGCCAUGUUAGAAGGAUGGAUGCAGGCCGCAUUCCCAAAAACCUCUGCUAUGGCGAGCUGGCAGAAGGCGCCCGGUUGACAGGCCGUCCAAAACUGCGCGACAAGUAUGUCUGCAAGAAAGACCUGAAACAGUGCAGCAUUGAUGUCUACUCAUGCCAGGCAUACGAUUGCACAGUUUGGCAACGUGCCACCAGACAGGGCAUGAAGAAUGUGGAAGAGGCACGGAUCAAAGCUGCCACCCAAAAGAGAGUCAGGUGGAAGGAAAGGCAACAGCAGCCUCAGCAGCCAACUACAUUCACCUGCACCAGAUGCCACAGAGACUGUCACUCACAAGUUGGUCUGCACAGCCACUCCAGGAAGUGCAGAUGAACUCUACAAGAGCUACACCAUCAUCUUCUGACACGAAAGAUGCCGACAGCAACGACGGUGAAUAUCAUUCUCUCAUCAAAAACAUACCUUUGACGCUUUCAUGCCUGUUGACGAAAUUCUUGAAUCUCCUGUGGUAGCCGUGUGGAGCUGCCUGAACUCUUGCUGGUACAAAGCACCACCUAUUUGCCCAAAGCUCCACCCUGUAGCUCAGUCUACAGGCGAGCUCAUGCCCCACAGAGCACCCCUCCCUCGAAGCAUUGUUUGAAAUUGUGCUAAAGUAGGAAUGUCUGAAAUGGGAGGAAGUUCUCAAAGAGAUAAAGGCCAAUUUCAAGGCAUUAUGAUGCAAAAUCUGUUUGUUUGUUUUUUUUCUUUUUCUUAUAUAUAUAUAGCGCAUCUUUUUUUAACAAAGGAACAUUUACUUGAUUGUGGUAUGAAACUGAACUGGAAAUACAUACUGCCCCCCUUUAAUGGGAUUGGCUCCAAAAGUAAUCAGCUGCUGAGAGUUUUAUUAAAACCUGUCCAAUGAUUCAAGAGAGAUUUUGUUUACAGGAACAUUUGACAUUAAUAGCUGAUUGUAAAGUUUUAAAAUCCAAUCUUAUGUG